UGGGCCCUUUGCCUCAUCACGUGGGGCAGCUGUCCUCUGCCAGUGAGGGCAAAGAGCCACUGUGACAGCCUUUUUGGGUAUCUGCACUUGGUGGCUCCUGAAUUCUUGUCCAGUGCCCAAGAAGAAUGAGGUCAUGCAGACAAAUCAAAGGAUGUCAAGUCACCUCUUUCUGAUGUCCAGCUGCUUCUCUGAAGUCAAGUCACCUCUCCCUGUGAUCCAGCCACUUCUCUGAAGUCAAGUCACCUCUCCCCGACAUCCAGCCAUGUCUCUGAAGUCAGUUGGUGACCCUGAGGCACAGAAAGCUGAGGGAAUUUGUUCGAAGUCACACAGCUGGUAAGUGUCCUGGAGUCUACUUUCUUGACCUCUGUGCUGUGCUGCCUCUUGGGUCCAAACCCACAUACCUGAACAUAAAAUGAGCGCUUACACCUAUCCAAAGAACAGAGACAGUGCAGCCUCUCAGGUGAGUGCACCAGUCCUCUGGCCACAGGAGGGACAUGCAGAUUUCUGGGAAUGGUACCCUGUGAGUCAUGACAUUCUUGCUGAAGCUGCAUCAACUGAGACCAGUCCUGCUCCUACUUCUUCGCCGGGCCACAAUGGCUGGGAUAGUGCCUUGCAUGGAUGCUGGCACUCAGGGGCUGCUGAUGGGCAAUGAGGUAGAUGGUCAGACACGGACCUACAAAAGCAAGCCUAGGCAGUGCCUCCCAUCCCAGCCUUCUGGGAUGGAGAAGACAAGUCCUUUACAUAAUCUAAAAGAAAUUAGCAACUUCUGGCUCAAGCCUGAGUUUGCAUGUUUGCCUCCCUUGCCUCCUAAAUCCC